UGUCCCUGACAAAAUAGCCCUUUUUCUUUCUCUGCUCUCCAUCCUUUACCCUGUCUACUAUGCAGCUGAAGAUUAGGAAUGGAUGAUAUGCAGAAUAGAGGUUUUGGAGUCAGUGUAUGAUUAACUACUGGAUGAUAUUUACAGAAAAUUUUACAGUGGUGCUGACAAGUCUGGUUAUCUGGGUGAAAGCCAAUGUUAUCCUAAUGACAGAUUGUUGGGAAAAUAAACAUAUAAGAGAUGAAUUGAAACAAUGAUAUAAAUGACUCUUUAGUUAUUUUCAAAUGGGAAAAAUUCAUCAGAAUAUUAAAUGUUUCAAAUGAGAGUCAUGCAACACCAUCAAUGAUUUAUUUCAUGACGUCAAUUAUUUAUUAUCUAGAGCGACUUAUGUCAAGAGUUGGAGUCUCACUCUGUCACCCAGACUGGAGUGCAAUA